UUAGAUUCCUUAAAUAAUGAAAAAUUUUAUAGGAUUAUUAUUGGAUUGAUUAAAUAAUGAAUUAAUAAUUAAAAUAUUAAUCAAAGCAAAUUCCCUUUUUCUAACAACCAAGCACCUUGAUCCAAAAGAAUGGAUUCAAGGGGACAGACUUUGUUAAUUUGUGAUGCUUUCUAUUUAGUAAUUAAGUUUUAAAGGUCUAAC
rnacentral:lncRNA from 1 species